AUUGAACGCUGGCGGCAGGCCUAACACAUGCAAGUCGAGCGAGCGGCGGACGGGUGAGUAAUGUAUGGGGACUGCCUGAUGGAGGGGGAUAACUACUGGAAACGGUAGCUAAUACCGCAUACCAUCCGAUAACUCAUCUGGGAGUAUCUAGUAGGUGAGGUAACGGCUUACCUAGGCGACGAUCCCUAGCUGGGCUGGUAGGAUGAUCAGCAACACUGGGACCAAGACACGGCCCAGACUCCUACGGAGGCAGCAUUGGGGAAUAUUGCACAAUGGGCGCAAGCCUGAUGCAGCCAUGCCUAGUGUAUGAAGAAGGCCUUCGGGUGGUAAAGUACGUUCAGUCGGGAGGCGAUACCGACAGAAGAAGCACCGGCUAACUCCGUGCCAGCAGCCGCGGUAAUAC
rnacentral:rRNA from 1 species